GACGAACGCUGGCGGCGUGCUUAACACAUGCAAGUCGAACGGAAAGGCCCUGCUUUUGUGGGGUGCUCGAGUGGCGAACGGGUGAGUAACACGUGAGUAACCUGCCCUUGACUUUGGGAUAACUUCAGGAAACUGGGGCUAAUACCGGAUAGGAGCUCCUGCUGCAUGGUGGGGGUUGGAAAGUUUCGGCGGUUGGGGAUGGACUCGCGGCUUAUCAGCUUGUUGGUGGGGUAGUGGCUUACCAAGGCUUUGACGGGUAGCCGGCCUGAGAGGGUGACCGGCCACAUUGGGACUGAGAUACGGCCCAGAAUCCUACGGGAGGCAGCAGUGGGGAAUAUUGCACAAUGGGCCGAAGCCUGAUGCAGCAACGCCGCGUGCGGGAUGACGGCCUUCGGGUUGUAAACCGCUUUCGCCUGUGACGAAGCGUGAGUGACGGUAAUGGGUAAAGAAGCACCGGCUAACUACGUG
rnacentral:rRNA from 1 species